GACGAACGCUGGCGGCGUGCUUAACACAUGCAAGUCGAACGAUGAAGCCUAGCUUGCUAGGUGGAUUAGUGGCGAACGGGUGAGUAAUACGUGAGUAACCUACCUUUAACUCUGGGAUAAGCCUGGGAAACUGGGUCUAAUACCGGAUACGACCAAUCUCCGCAUGGGGUGUUGGUGGAAAGCGUUAUGUAGUGGUUAUAGAUGGGCUCACGGCCUAUCAGCUUGUUGGUGAGGUAACGGCUCACCAAGGCGACGACGGGUAGCCGGCCUGAGAGGGUGACCGGCCACACUGGGACUGAGACACGGCCCAGACUCCUACGGGAGGCAGCAGUGGGGAAUAUUGCACAAUGGGCGCAAGCCUGAUGCAGCAACGCCGCGUGAGGGAUGACGGCCUUCGGGUUGUAAACCUCUGUUAGCAGGGAAGAAGAGAAAUUGACGGUACCGGCAAAGAAAGCGCCGGCUAACUACGUG
rnacentral:rRNA from 1 species